GAUGAACGCUGGCGGCGUGCUUAACACAUGCCAGUCGAACGGAAAGGCUCCUGCUUGCAGGGGUACUCGAGUGGCGAACGGGUGAGUAACACGUGGGUGAUCUGCCCUGCACUUCGGGAUAAGCCUGGGAAACUGGGUCUAAUACCGGAUAGGACGAUGGUUUGGAUGCCAUUGUGGAAAGUUUUUUCGGUGUGGGAUGAGCUCGCGGCCUAUCAGCUUGUUGGUGGGGUAAUGGCCUACCAAGGCGUCGACGGGUAGCCGGCCUGAGAGGGUGUACGGCCACAUUGGGACUGAGAUACGGCCCAGACUCCUACGGGAGGCGGCAGUGGGGAAUAUUGCACAAUGGGCGCAAGCCUGAUGCAGCGACGCCGCGUGGGGGAUGACGGCCUUCGGGUUGUAAACUCCUUUCGCUAGGGACGAAGCGCAAGUGACGGUACCUGGAGAAGAAGCACCGGCUAACUACGUG
rnacentral:rRNA from 1 species